AAAUACAAUACAAAAUUGAGGAAUCUCUAAACUCUAAAGUACCUAAGUUGUACCCAUAACAAAAAUAUAAAAGAAAGCUUAGCAACCUAUGUUGAUCCCUAGUUACCAUAGCUCUUGUAAUGUUUUAAUUGCCAAAUUGAAGGAUCGUACUAAUGGUUUAUUCUUUGCUUUGCCAAGAGGUUUGUACCUUAAUUGGUGCCUCCACAUGCAUAGGGUGCUUGGGGGUCUAGGGGAGAAAGGGUUCAAGUUGCGGGUCAGCAGCAUAUUGUAACUAUUUGAAAAAAGAGGCGAUGCUUUGAAUUCAUUGAAGACCAAUUUAGCUGAUCCAAACAAUGUUCUGCAAAGUUGGGAUCCUACCCUUGUGAAUCCCUGCACAUGGUUCCACGUAACAUGCGAUAGCGAAAAUAGUGUGACAUGAGUUGAUCUUGGAAAUGCAAAUCUUUCUGGUCAACUGGUUCCACAACUUGGUCAGCUUUUAAAUCUGCAAUAUUUGGAACUUUAUAGUAAUAACAUAACUGGACCAAUCCCUGAGGAGCUUGGGAAUUUGACAGACUUGGUGAGCUUGGAUCUUUACUUGAACAAUUUAAACGGACAGAUUCCAUCCACAUUGGGCAAGCUUCAAAAACUUUGCUUUCUAUCCUGCUAGUGCAGCUGCAUCACAGGCAAAUCGAGAGGAAGUGGAUUCUCGAUCAGUGUUUGUUGGCAAUGUCAGGCUUCAUUCUUCAAGUUUUCUGAUUAACUGGUGCUGGGGUUCGAAGUAUUUCUGAUGAAAUACAGCUGGGCUAGGAAAAGAAAAUAAUUAAUGAAAUUCAACAGAAAGAGAAAAGGGGGGAAAAAAGAACGAGAACAAAAAAGAA